AUGAACGCUGGCGGCGUGCCUAAUACCUGCAAGUCGAGCGAACAGACGAGGAGCUUGCUCCUCUGACGUUAGCGGCGGACGGGGGAGUAACACGUGGAUAACCUACCUAUAAGACUGGGAUAACUUCGGGAAACCGGAGCUAAUACCGGAUAAUAUAUUGAACCGCAUGGUUCAAUAGUGAAAGACGGUUUUGCUGUCACUUAUAGAUGGAUCCGCGCCGCAUUAGCUAGUUGGUAAGGUAACGGCUUACCAAGGCGACGAUGCGUAGCCGACCUGAGAGGGUGAUCGGCCACACUGGAACUGAGACACGGUCCAGACUCCUACGGGAGGCAGCAGUAGGGAAUCUUCCGCAAUGGGCGAAAGCCUGACGGAGCAACGCCGCGUGAGUGAUGAAGGUCUUCGGAUCGUAAAACUCUGUUAUUAGGGAAGAACAAAUGUGUAAGUAACUAUGCACGUCUUGACGGUACCUAAUCAGAAAGCCACGGCUAACUACGUG
rnacentral:rRNA from 1 species